CAUAUGGCCUAUCGUGGGACUUCACCUUGUGAUCAUCCAAUGAAGAAACCUUGGAAAAGGAAAUGAGAAGGACAACAUUGUUCUAUCAGCCAAUCUGUUCACCUUACAAUUGAUGUUAAGCAGAAUCUGAUAUGCAAAGAGGAAGCUCAGCAUCUUGUACUGCAUCCAGGAAGUCAAGGACCCCAAACGGAGGGACCGGCUGAAGCCAUGGCAGAAGAAUGUGGAUUGUGAAGAUUUCAUGGACAUUUAUUAGUUCCCCAAAUUAAUACUUUUAUAAUUUCUUAUGCCUGUCUUUACUGCAGUCUCUAAACAUAAAUUGUGAAGAUUUCAUGGACACUUAUCACUUCCCCAAUCAAUACCCUUGUGAUUUCCUAUGCCUGUCUUUACUUUAAUCUCUUAAUCCUGUUAGCUGAGGAGGAUGUAUGUCACCUCAGGACUCAUGUGAUAAUUGUCUUAACUGCACAAAUUGUAGAGCAUGUGUGUUUAAACAAUAUGAAAUCUGGGCACCUUGAAAAAAGAACAGGAUAAUAGCAAUUGUUUAGGGAAUAAGGGAGAUAACCUUAAACUCUGACGGCUGGUGAGCUGGGCGGAACAGAGCCAUAUUUCUCUUCUUUCAAAAGCAAAUGGGAGAAAUAUUGCUGAAUUCUUUUUCUCAGCAAGGAACAUCCCUGGGAAAGAGAAUACGUGCCUGGGGGGAGGGUCUCUGAAAUGGCCCCCUUGGGUGUGGCCGUCUUCUAUGGUCGAGACUGUAGGGAUGAAAUAAACCCCAGUCUCCCACAGUGCUCCCAGGCUUAUUAGGAAGAGGAAAUUCCCACCUAAUAAAUUUUGGUCAGACCGGUUGCUCUCAAAACCCUGUCUCCUGAUAAGAUGUUAUCAAUGACAAUGGUGCCUGAAACCUCAUUAGAAAUUCUAAUUUCGCCCCAGUCCUGUGGUCCUGUGAUCUCGCCCUGCUUCCAUUUGCCUUGUGAUAUUCUAUUACCUUGUGAAGUACGUGAUCUCUGUGACCCACACCUAUUCGCACACUCCCUCCCCUUCUGAAAGUCCCUAAUAAAAACUUGCUGGUUUUGUGGCUUGUGGGGCAUCAUGGAAAAAACCUACUGACACGUGAUGUCUCCCCCGGAUGCCCAGCUUUAAAAUUUCUCUCUUUUGUACUCUGUCCCUUUAUUUCUCAAAGCGGCCGAUGCUUAGGGAAAAUAGAAAAGAACCUACGUGACUAUCAGGGCAGGUUCCCUGAUAGGUUUUGGUUGUUAAUUUGUUUAAGUUCCUUAUAAAUUCUGGAUAUUAGACCUUUGUUGGAUGCACAGUUUGCAAAUGUUUUCUCCCAUUCUGUAGGCUGUCUGUUUACUCUGUUGAUAGUUUCUUUUGCUGUGCAGAACCUCUUUGGUUUAAUUAGGUCCCAUUUGUCAACUUUUGGUACUGUUGCAAAUUCUUUUGGUGUCUUCUUCAUGAAAUCUUUGCCAGGGCCUAUGUCCAGAAUGGUAUUCCCUAGGUUAUCUUCCAGGGUUUUUAUAGUUUUAGGUUUUGCAUUUAAGUCUGCAAUCUCUCUUGAGUUGAUUUUUGUACAUGGUCUAAGAAAGGAGUCCAAUUUUAGUCUUCUGCCAAUGGCUAGUCUGUUAACACAGCAGCAUUUAUUUAAUAGGGAAUCCUUUCCCCAUCGCUUGUUUUUGUCAGGUUUGUCAAAGACCAGGUGGUUGUAAGUGUGCAGCAUUAUUUAUGGGCUCUCUUGCCUGUUCCAUUUGUCUAUAUAUCUGUUUUUGUACCAGUACCAUGCUGUUUGGGUUACUGUAGCCUUGUGAUACAGUUUCAAGUCAGGUAACAUGAUGCCUCCAGCUUUGCUCUUUUUGCUUAGGACUGUCUUGGCUAUUUUUGUUGUUGUUGUUCCAUCUGAAUUUUAAAAUGGUUUUUUCUAAUUCUGUAAAGAAUCAGAAAGAUGGCAGAUAGAAGGCUCGACCAACUGUCCCUCUAUAAGGACACCAAUUUAACAACUAUCUACACACAAAAAAAGCACCAGCAUAAGAACCAAGAAUCAGGACAGCACUCAUAGUACCUGGUUUUAAGUUGAUAUUACUGAAAGAGGCACUGAAGAAAUAGAGAAAAGAGUUUUGAAUCACCAGCAUCUCCUCUCCUGCAUCCCCCAGCAGUGGUGGUGUGGUGUGGAGAGUAUUUCUGUGCAGUAGUGAGAAGAGCAGAAAGCAAAACAAGACCAAACUCAGGUGACACCCAAGGAGGGAGCCUUUAAACCAGCCCUAGUCAGAGCAGAAUCACAGAUCCCAGUGGUCAGAACUUGAGCUCCCACAAGCCUUGGCACCACAGGCUACAGAGUUCUGGGGUAACAAAUAAACCUGAAAGACAGUCUAGGCCACAAGAAUUGUAACUCCUAGGUGACUCCUAGUGCCGAACUGGUCCCACAGAUAAUAGACUAGGGAGGGCAUGACCUACGAAGACACCAGCUGAAACAGCCAAGGGAGUGCUGGAAUCACCCCUUCUCUAAUUCCAGGUUGCACAGUCUGUAGCUCCAAAAGAGACCCCUUCUUUCUGCUUGAGGAGAGGAGAUGAAAGAGUAGAGAAAAUGUUUUCUUGCAUUUUGGAUACCAGCUCAGCCAUAGCAGGCAAGGUCCCCGGUCAGAGUCGUGAGGCCCCUCUUUCCAGGCCCUUGCUUCCAAACAACAUUACUAGACACACUGGGCCAGAAGGAAACCCAUUUCCCUGUAGGGAAGGACUCAGUCCUGGCAGAAUUCAACACCUGUUAACUAAAGAGGCCUUGGGCCUUAAAUAAACAGCAGUGAUGUCCAGGUAUAUUAAGGAACUUAGGUGAGACAUUGAGAUUUGCUGGUGUCUGGUGAGACUUAGCACAUUCCCAGCUGUGGUGGCUACAAUGAAAGACUCCUUAUGCCUGAGAAAAGUAGAAGGAAAAAUAAAAGGGUCUUUGUCUUGCACUUUAGGUACCAGCUCAGCCACCGGGGGCAGAGUACCAGUGAGCUCUUGGGAUCCCUGAUUCUAGAACUUGGCUCUUGGACAGAAUUUCUGGAUGUGCCCUGGACCAGAAGGGAGCCCAUUGCCUUAAAGUGUGAGUCCCAGGCCAGACAGCAUUCACCACAAACUGACUUAAGAGGCCUUGAGCUUUAAGAAAACAUUGAUGGUAGUCUGGCAGUACUUCCCAUUGAUUUGAGGUGGUGGUGGCCAUACAGUGAGGCUCCUCUGCCUUUAGAAAGGGUAGGAAAGAGUGGGAAAGACUGCAUCUUAUGGUUUGAGUGCCACCUCAGCCUUAGUACAAUAGAACACCAGGUAGAUAUGUAAGGUUUUUUACUCUAAUCCCUGGCUCCUGAACAGCACCUCUAGAUUCACCAGGGGCCUGGAGGAACUUGCCACCCUGAAGGAAAGGACACAGGCCUGGCUGACUUAGCUACUUGCUGAUCAUGAGGCCCCAGGGCUUUGAGAAAACAUAGGUAGUAACCAGCAAGUGGUUAGAGCAGGGCUUUGUUGAGACUCAAUGCUGGGCUGGCUUUAGGUCAGACCCAGCAUAGUUCUAGGACUGGUAGCCACAGGGGUGCUUGUGUCACUCCACCCCUGGUUCAGGUGGCUCAGAACAGAGCGAGACUUCAUUUGUUUUGAAGAAUGUAACGGAAGAGAACAAGAGCCUCUGCCUAGUAAUCCAGAGAAUUAUUCCCAAUUUUUGCCAAGAACUUCAAGGUGGUACCUCUACAAGUCUGCAAGAACUGCAGUGUUACCAGGUUUGGGAUUCCCCCUAAAGCAGAUAUAGCUUAGACAGCACCACCCAAGUUCUUUCAAAUAUCUGGAAAGCCUUCCCAAGAAGGAAGGGUACAAACAAGCCCUGACUGCAAAGACUACAGUAAAUACCUAACCCUGCAAUGCCCAGACACAGACGAACAUCCACAAGUAUCAAGAUGACCCAGGAAAACAUGACCUCACUAAAUGAACUAAAUAAGGCACCAGGAAUCAGUCCUGGAGAAACAGAGGUAUGUGAUCUUUUAGACAGAAUUCAAAAUAGCUAUUUUGAAGAAACUCAAAAAUAUUCAAGAUAACACAGAGAAAGAAUUCAGAACUCUGUCAGAUAAAUUCAACAAAGAGAUUGAAAUAAUUACAAAGAAAUGAGCAGAAAUUCAGGAGCUGAAAAUUGCAGCUGGUAUACUGAACAAUGCAUCAGAGUCUUUUAAAAGCGGAAGAAAGAAUUAGUGUGCUUGCAGACAGGCUAUUUGGCUAUCAGCAGCCCUCGGGCUGCUCUGUUUACAGAGUAGCCAUUCUUUUAUCCCUUUACUUUCUUAAUAAAUUUGCUUUCACUUUGCACUGCGGACUCGCCCUGAAUUCUUUCUUGCAUGAGAUCCAAGAACCCUCUCUUGGGGUCUGGAUCCGGAUCCCCUUUCCUGUAACAUUAGCAUAUCAAUUAUUCUCAUUAAAAAAAAAGUUUUUAGUGUUUUCCAAUGUAUUAAAUAAUAUUAAACUAAUCUUAGUCUACUUUCAAAUAACUCUAUACCACUUUACAUGUUGUUCACAUACUGUAUAACAGAAUAUCCCCAGUAGCUCCCUCUCAUACCUUGUGAAAUUGCUGUCAUUUAUUUUACUUAUCCGUAUGCUAAAAUCACCCAUCACACUGUUACCAUUAUUACUUUAAACAAAGACAUAUUUUAAUUUACUUAUCAAUUUUAAAAAAUUAUGCCUUCAUUUCUUUCUUUCCUGAUGCUCCUUCCUUCUUUAUGUAAAUCAAAGUUUCCAGCCUAUACAAUUUUCAUUUCAUUAUCCGUUUUUACCUUUCUUCUAGGGCAGAACUGCUGGUGAUGAAUUCCCUCAGUUGUUGUUUUCCUAAGAAAGUCUUUAAUUAUCUGUAAUUUGUAGGGCAAUCUAACAGGAUAUAGAAUCCUAGGUUGGUGGUUUUUCUUUGAACUCUUCCAAUAUUUUAGUCAACUCUCUCCUUGCUUGCAUGGUUUGUGACAAGAAGUCUACUGUAAUUCUCAUCUUUUUUCCUUUCUAUGUAAAGUAUUUAAUUUUCUCUGGCUUCUUUCAAGAUUUUUCUCUUUGUCUUUGGUUUUCUUCAGUUUGAAUAUGAUAUAACUGGUUGUAGUUUUUUUGGAACUUUUCCUGGCUGGUGUUCUGUAAGCUUUCUGGAUCCGUGGUUUGGUAUAUGUCAUUAAUUUUGAGAAAUUCUCCUCUACUAUUACUUGAAAUAUUUCUUCUGCUCUGUUCUCUCUUCUCCACUGCUAUUCUAAUUCCACAUGUCACGUUAGACAAAGUAUCCUACAUUUCUGAGAUAAUGUUUUAUUAUUAUUAUUUUUCUCUUUGUAUUUUAUUUUGGGAAAUUUCUAUUGACCUAUCUUCAUGCUCACUAUUUUCUUGGUGUUCAACCUACUGAUAAGUAUAUCAUAGACAUUCUCCAUUUUUGUUGUAGUGUUUUUGUUUUCCAGCAUUUUCUAUUGAUACUCUCUUACAAUUUCAAUGUCUUUGCAUAGCUUCCCCAUAUUUUCUUGCUUUUACCUAUUUUUUCCAUUAGAUCCCUUAACAUAUUAUUCAUAAUUACUUUACAUUUCCUGUUCUAUGUCAUAUCUGAUCAUGGUUCUGAUGCUUAGUUUGUGGUUUUUCUUGUCUUUUGGCGUGACUUGUAAUUUUCUGGUUAAAGCUGGACAUGAUAUGUCAUGUAAUAAAAAUUUAGAUAUUUUUUCUAGGCCUUUAGUGUGUGGUCUUAUGUUAAUUUGGCUAAGAGCUCUGCUGUGUUUUAUGUUUACUGUAGCUGUGGGUGCCAAGGGCUUUACAUUUCUCUUGUAUCCUUAUUUUUGUCUCCUGUGUUAUUUUGGGAUUUCCUAAAAACUCAUUCUCAGACACAAUUUGCAUCUUGCAGCUCUUUCAGCUACUAUUGUAGUGGAGCCCUGUUGGUAUGCUGGUAAAGUGUGAGGAAGAAGGGAUAUUCUAUAAUCAUAUAAUUAAAUCUGUUUUAUCAGUGCGCCUGUGUCCCAAGGCUGUGUGACCUAUGCUUAGAUCUCUUAGUCUUUUUCUUCCCCCUUAGAUGAGACAGAAAGGUCAGAGGGGGCCAGGGUGGGAGAGAUGCCCUUCCCCCAGAUAAGAUAAGACUAGUAAUGUCAUUUCCCCCGAAGAAUAAGGCCUUUGCUCUGGAGAAUACUCGGUGUGCUUGUCACAAUGGUUACUCCUCCCCUCCCUUGAUAAAGCCAGGGGAGAAUCUUUCUUAAGUUUUUCACAGUAAGGAUCUGGUAUAGUUCCUGAAGAUAAAACCCACAAAAAUGUAGGGCCCUCCUAGCAGCAUAGCAUCCCUCCACCCCAGGAUUUCUCACUUUCAAGCUAGUCUAUAUUCAGCUCCAGCAGUUAAUUAACAUUACAAGUUAAAUGUCCCCACCAAGUUAUGGCUACAGUGGCUUUUUCUUCAGGUAAGCAGAUCUUGGCUGUGACUCGCUGGAUUUGCCUAUUUUUCCAGAUUUGGGCCAAUCUCAGUUCUCUAAUGCAUCCAAGAAAAAAUGUUGAGUUUUAGUUUGUUUAGUCUUUUCUUGUGGUAUGAACAGGAGUGAUGACUUCCAAUCUUUACUUGUUGAAGCUGAAACUAGAAGUCUUAGGUUUUCAUUUUUAUAAUUAUAUUUUUAUUUUUGUGAUUUCUGGGUACUUUUUAAAUGGAUGGAAUGUAAUAUCCUCUAGAAUAUUUAAUAUUCAAAACAAAUUAUAGGAAGAUCUUAAAAUAAGUAAAAUGUGUCUUGCCUCCUUGUGUAUUAUUCCUUUCAUUUGUGGAGUAAGUUGCCAUUCUUUUGAGUUGUAGGUCCUCUUCAAAUGUUUGGUUAUAUUUGCCAUUCAGGAUCCCUGCUCUACUUUAUGUAGAUGCCAUGUCUGACUACAGAAGACUGUUUCUGAAAUCUUUGAGAGUUUGGCUGGAUAUGCUACUGAAGAGGUUGUGCUCAAUGCUUUGCAUUUGGGGUAAAGAAUCUGUUUCUCCUAAUACAUUGCCCUGAUUCUCCUUCCAAAUGAUAAAAUCCUUCAUCAGCAAAUACAUGAAUAAGCGGAGGUUCCACCAGGCUUGUGCUCUAAAAAAGUUUUAGUUAAGCAUCCUGAUUAUUUUCCCAGAGCCCUUUUAUUUUCUCUAAUUUCAUCAUAUCUGAGACUAAACAACCUCUGAAAUUAUCCUCCCUUUUAAUUAUCUUUUUUCAAUGUGUUUUGGUCUGUGGCCUCUUUCUUUCAUUCAAUUCAUCAAUGUUCUAUCUUUUAGAAAGCCUUCAACAUUUUUGAUUUGCUGCUUACUCACCCUUAUUUUGUUGUUUAUAUAAAUUGCAAAUGACUUUUAUUACACUUUGGGAUUCAUUAAGGUCAUUUUUCUGGAACCAGUUUCUCACAUUAUAAACCCAUGUUUGUUAGAAUGAUUUUCUGAUUAAACUUAUAACUUCAACAGAUUAAAAACAGUCAUCAUAUCUCUAUCCCUAUAAAUAAUGAUAGCUUUUACUUACAGAUCUACAUUAUAUUAACACAUAUAUGAAUAAAUGAAGUAUAUAUAAUAGCUAUGCUUCAUCCUGUUUUUGAGUUACAGUUAUUCCAGACUUAUAUCUACACAACUAAUGGCAAUAUCCUUUCCUUGGUUUGGGAUUAAAUGAAUUGGGAGAAAAAAAGAAAAGAGAAGAAAGAAAAAAAAUCUUGAGAAGGAAAGAGGUUUCUAUUCUUCGCCACCACUGCACAGAAAAGGAAGCCAUUUGUCCUCUGGCUUCUCCAUCCUUCUGCCCCAUCACACUGUUCUUAUGACACUGGACUCAUUGGUUAUGACCUACACAGAUGUGGCAUAACAUUUCCUUCUGUUCUUUUGCUGCCUUCCCUUACAUGGAACUUCAUUUUUCUUCCCCUGGGCGUAGGGCAGCUAUUUUCAAUCUAAAUAGACCAGCUGCUCAUCUAGCCCCACUUAAUCACCAAGCCAAUGUAGAGAAGGCAAAGCAUAUGUACGCAUCAUAUGUGAUAUUUUGUCUAAUUUGUUUCCAUCUUAGGUUCUAUUUAGUGAUCUGGUGGAGUGACCCUCACUACCACAGUCUAUAAUCUGUAAACAUUAUAUGACCCCAGUGAUUUUUUCCUUCUUCUAGGUAUCUAUUAAUGGAUGGUAUAAGGAAAUAUAUUGUUACUCUUCCUUUUAAGUAAAACCUUUCUGA